rnacentral:lncRNA from 1 species
AUAAAACUGUCAGACAUGGAAAAAUUAGCUCAGGGAAGAAGUCUAUGAAGGAUUGGAGACGUCAUCAAGAUGGUGGUGAUAGCAAUGGAUACAGAAGCUAUGAUAGGUUUCAUCACUGAGGAGGCCUGCUUGAUCAAGCAAUUUCCGAGCAUCCAUCUCUCAUAGUCGUAGAGCAGCAGCAAUUAGGAAUCACAGAGACGAUCCAUGCUCACAUCCAUGAUGCGAAUGCUUCUUCCUCGAGUUUCUAGUAAUUGUGCAAUUACAAUUAUGGCGAUAAUAUUGCUUCUCAAAAAAUAGAUCAGGGAAACUUACCAGUUAGACCUUUAGCCAGGAACCUUGAUGCUCUGCCCCGGAUCUUUCCUUGGUGGGACUGGCGGGGUGGAAUUGGUGCUUCAAGCUCUUAUUGCUAAGUGCAUGAUUGAUCAUCAGUCUGCCUUGGAAUCCUCUGAACCAUGGCCGAGUAGCAGUGUCAAAAUGCUCAUCGCUUAUGGU